rnacentral:rRNA from 1 species
UACAGAGGGUGCUAGCGUUGUUCGGAAUCAUUGGGCGUAAAGGGCGUGUAGGCGGUUUGUUAAGUCAUGUGUGAAAUCCCUCGGCUCAACCGGGGAACGACGCAUGAAACUGGCAAGCUAGAGUACCAAAGAGGGGGGUGGAAUUCCCGGUGUAGCGGUGAAAUGCGUAGAUAUCGGGAGGAACAUCUGUGGCGAAGGCGACACCCUGGACCAGCACUGACACUGAGGCACGAAAGCGUGGGGAGCAAACAGG